UACGUAGGUGGCAAGCGUUGUCCGGAAUUAUUGGGCGUAAAGCGCGCGCAGGCGGUCCUUUAAGUCUGAUGUGAAAGCCCUCGGCUCAACCGAGGAGGGUCAUUGGAAACUGGAGGACUUGAGUGCAGAAGAGGAAAGUGGAAUUCCAAGUGCAGCGGUGAAAUGCGUAGAGAUUUGGAGGAACACCAGUGGCGAAGGCGACUUUCUGGUCUGUAACUGACGCUGAGGCGCGAAAGCGUGGGGAGCAAACAGG
rnacentral:rRNA from 1 species